UACGUAGGUGACCAGCGUUGUCCGGAUUUACUGGGCGUAAAGAGCGCGCAGGCGGUCGUUCAAGUCGAGUGUGAAAGCCCCCGGCUCAACUGGGGAGGGUCAUUCGAUACUGAUCGACUCGAAGGCAGGAGAGGGAAGCGGAAUUCCCGGUGUAGUGGUGAAAUGCGUAGAUAUCGGAAGGAACACCAGUGGCGAAAGCGGCUGCGUGGUCCAGCACCGACGUUCAGGCACGAAAGCGUGGGGAGCAAACAGG
rnacentral:rRNA from 1 species